UCUUCCUGGAGAUCCUUGUGUACCUGAAGCCUUCUGAAGGUUGCAGCUCCUCCCAGUGUCUGCUGAUCUCUAAGAAUGCUAAAUAAUAAGAUGUGCAGGCCUCUUCCCAGAGAACUGUAGAUGCAGCUAUGUCCCUUCUCUGCGUUUGUCAUGUUACUGCUCCUACACACAUCUAAAUUCAGCUCUAUCAGCUCUCAAAUUUAACUUCAAUGUGAGCAGCUUGAUUUGGCUUUAGCAAUGCAAGAAAAUUCCACUCACAGUUCUGCCCAGUGCUAUGUAUUGCAUUGCCAGAGCACUGUCACCCAGCACGCUCUCCCCUUAUAGCAGCUGUACUGCAUCAAUCCACCCAGCAGGAGGGUCAGCAUUGCUCCCAGUAAAGAAGAGUUUUAGUGAGCUGAAGCAACCAUCCAGCCAACAGCAGAGAUGGAGUCAGAUUCCUGGGUCCCACAAAGUCAUCUGUCAGCAUCAGACUUGGAGAGCUGGAUAAGCUGUUCAAAGAACCCCACUUUGACCUUGGAUGCCCAGAAGGCUCUUUUCACUCAGAAGUGUGAAGUUUUGGAUCCUGAUGACAAAUGCUGCGGACAGCCCAACCUGGAUGAGUGGGAAGGCUAGAGGACAUCCAUGCUGUUGGGCUGUCAUCUUGGGAAUUAGAUGUUUGGAAGCUGCACUUCACCUCCCCAAAAGGUUGGGGAAGUUUGGUGGAAGAUAGCGAUGUGGCAAACGGUGCUUUAGUACUGCUGCUCUCCCAAGGAAUGCUUCCUGAGUGCCAGCAGCCUGCUUUUCACCGCUUCUCAGGAGAGCCAAGAAGAGAAAUCAAGCUGCAGUUGUCAGCCUGCUUCUUCCUCUCUGGUCCAACAGCAUUGUAAGAGUUCCCUCGUGAUGGUUUGUGCACAGAACCUCCUUCAGAGCUUCACAGCAUCCCCUUUCAAGCGACUCACAGAGCCCACAAAAGAGCCUCCCUUAGGCCUUUGGUCUUGUUUCAACACCAUGGCAUGAGUGUGACCCCAAAUGGAGGUCAUUAGAGCUAAUUACUAAAUCACUUAGUACAAACACAGAAGGUAUGACCACACCGAUGUUCACGUGGAGAUCUGGAGGCUGUGCUGACAGCACCCACCUGGCACAGCCCAGCAGUGACAGCCACCAGCCUGCAGGCCCACCAGCAGGCUGAACUGGGAAUUCCCUCAGCUCUGUUUCACCCUGCUGCUGAAACAACAGAGUUUGCGUUGUUAAUCAGACCAGGACUGCACCGGAGGAGUGGGCUGCAAUGCCUGGCUGCAUGAAGGGGGGACAGAUGGCUUCACAGCCGCAGCUCUGUUACAAGCACUGCGAAAACCAUGCAAGCUUUCAUUCUCCAGCUGCAAAACCAGAGCACUUUAGGAUAAAUAUACCAGCAAUUCUAACCAAAGCAGCACCCUUAUCCCUGAUGGUCCGGGUAGCAGGAGGAAGAGCAGCCUCAGCACGGCCCCGUGCUGGCACAAGCAGUCAGGGUGAGCGCAUCCCUCCCUGCUCUCCUGCACAGUGCCAGUGUCCGAGGCGCAGUUCUGUGCAUGCUUGUGUCAGGCUCUGCAGAGGAGCGCAGCCUAUGGGAGCUCGUGCCUAUCGGGCACUGCCGGGAGUAACUGCACGGAGCGACGGAGACAACUUCAGGUACGGAACGGCACAGCUCUUCCCAACGCUCCAGCCUCCAUCCGCCCUUCUCCAGGCAUCCCGGAGCUCGCAGCCCCCCUCGAUUCCUCACCGGCUCUUUUGUCUACGGCCGACCGAAGCCCAUCCCGCGCGGAUGCGGGCAGGCCGAGCCUCCCUCCCGUCCCGCAGAGCCUCCU